rnacentral:misc_RNA from 1 species
GCACACUUGAUAAGUUCACCCCAAAAGGACGGAAAUUUGUUGGAUGUUCUACUAAUUGUCUAGUCAAAGCCAUUGUUAACAUUUCCGAAUACUCAACCAGCUGCACUCAAAUCCAAGAAGAAGCGUUCAAAUCACACGUCGAUUGCUAUCUCAAUUGUAAUUUCUGUGAAGUGUGCAAAACCGAAAAACUCGCAUUCCUUGGAAGUUACGAUUGGACAGAUUUUCUAAGUUAUGCUGCCGUUAAACAAGUUCUUGCAAUUAUUCGUAAAUGUGGUAUAUUUAGUUGUUUGAAAGUGUUUGAUGUUUAA